GUUGACAUGAAAGCAUGAAUGACAUAGAGGAAGAAGAAAUCAAGUCAAGACAUACAUCCGGAGUGAUCAAAGUAAGCUUGUCCGUACAAGUGUGAUCUAACUUGGCGUGCAAGGCAAGAGGAGACUUAUCUGUGAUCAAGAAGGAUGUUAUACUUGCCUUAAGAUAUUUAAAAGAUGUCGGCCAAGAGAAGGGAUCCGUUGAAGAAGAAGACAAGGUGGUUCAAAGGAGAGAGAGCCGUUUGGUGCUGUCGCUUUCCACCUUGGCUGUGCGCAACCUGCCCUUGAUCAGGCCUCUUUGUUUAUUCUUUUCUUCUAUGUCAACUUGCCAUUAGUUUAUUCAUUGUUGCAUCUAUUUAAAGUAUGUAAUCAGAACCAAAUGGAUCAAGGA
rnacentral:lncRNA from 1 species